rnacentral:rRNA from 1 species
GGGGAAACCCGGCCCGAAUGGGUCAUCUGUUACUGAAUUCAUAGGUAACAGAGGCGAACGCAGUGAACUGAAACAUCUAAGUAGCUGCAGGAAAAGAAAUCAACCGAGAUUCCCAAAGUAGUGGCGAGCGAAAUGGGAUCAGCCUUGUACUCUUUAGCAGUAUUGUUAGCAAAACGGAAUGGAAAGUCCGGCCAUAGUGGGUGAUAGCCCCGUAUGCGAAAACAGUAUUGUGGAACUAGGUGUACGACAAGUAGGGCGGGACACGUGAAAUCCUGUCUGAAGAUGGGGGGACCAUCCUCCAAGGCUAAAUACUCGUGAUCGACCGAUAGUGAACCAGUACCGUGAGGGAAAGGCGAAAAGAACCCCGGGAGGGGAGUGAAAUAGAUCCUGAAACCGCAUGCAUACAAACAGUCGGAGCCUGGAAACGGGUGACGGCGUACCUUUUGUAUAAUGGGUCAGCGACUUACAUUCAGUGGCAAGCUUAACCGAUUAGGGAAGGCGUAGCGAAAGCGAGUCCGAAUAGGGCGUUCAGUCGCUGGGUGUAGACCCGAAACCAAGUGAUCUAUCCAUGGCCAGGUUGAAGGUGCGGUAACACGUACUGGAGGACCGAACCCACUAACGUUGAAAAGUUAGGGGAUGAGCUGUGGAUAGGGGUGAAAGGCUAAACAAACUUGGAAAUAGCUGGUUCUCUCCGAAAACUAUUUAGGUAGUGCCUCGUGUCUCACCUUCGGGGGUAGAGCACUGUCAUGGUUGGGGGGUCUAUUGCUGAUUACCCCGCCAUAGCAAACUCCGAAUACCGAAGAGUGCAAUCACGGGAGACAGACAUCGGGUGCUAACGUCCGGUGUCAAGAGGGAAACAACCCAGACCGCCAGCUAAGGUCCCUAAGAUUGGCUAAGUGGGAAACGAAGUGGGAAGGCUAAAACAGUCAGGAGGUUGGCUUAGAAGCAGCCACCCUUUAAAGAAAGCGUAAUAGCUCACUGAUCGAGUCGUCCUGCGCGGAAGAUGUAACGGGGCUAAGCCAGUCACCGAAGCUGCGGAUGCACGUAAGUGCAUGGUAGGAGAGCGUUCUGUAAGCCUGUGAAGGUGUCUUGUGAAGGAUGCUGGAGGUAUCAGAAGUGCGAAUGCUGACAUGAGUAGCGAUAAAGGGGGUGAAAGGCCCCCUCGCCGUAAGCCCAAGGUUUCCUACGCAACGUUCAUCGGCGUAGGGUGAGUCGGCCCCUAAGGCGAGGCAGAGAUGCGUAGCUGAUGGGAAGCAGGUUAAUAUUCCUGCACCGUCGUAUGAUGCGAUGGGGGGACGGAUCGCGGAAGGUUGUCCGGGUGUUGGAUGUCCCGGUCCCUACAUUGGAGAUGGCACUUAGGCAAAUCCGGGUGCGUGAUUCAAGGGUGUGGGGCGAG